GAUGAAGAACGUAGCAAAAUGCGAUAAGUAAUGUGAAUUGCAGAAUUCAGUGAAUCAUCGAAUCUUUGAACGCACAUUGCGCCCGCCAGUACUCUGGCGGGCAUGCCUGUCCGAGCGUCAUUUCAACCCUCAGGGCCCUCCAGCAGGGCGCUGGUGUUGGGGAUCGGCAGUCCCAGCGGCUGCCGUCCCUGAAAUGUAGUGGCGGUCCCACCGUGACCUCCCCUGUGCAGUACAUCGCUCGCAGAGGGACAGCGGUGCGGCCACGCCGUAAAACGCCCAACUCCUCAAGGUUGACCUCGGAUCAGGUAGGACUACCCGCUGAACUUAAGCAUAUCAAUAAGCGGAGGA
rnacentral:misc_RNA from 1 species